rnacentral:rRNA from 1 species
CCUACGGGAGGCAGCAGUGAGGAAUAUUGGUCAAUGGACGAGAGUCUGAACCAGCCAAGUAGCGUGAAGGAUGACUGCCCUAUGGGUUGUAAACUUCUUUUAUAUGGGAAUAAAACGUUCCACGUGUGGGAUUUUGUAUGUACCAUAUGAAUAAGGAUCGGCUAACUCCGUGCCAGCAGCCGCGGUAAUACGGAGGAUCCGAGCGUUAUCCGGAUUUAUUGGGUUUAAAGGGAGCGUAGGUGGAUUGUUAAGUCAGUUGUGAAAGUUUGCGGCUCAACCGUAAAAUUGCAGUUGAAACUGGCAGUCUUGAGUACAGUAGAGGUAGGCGGAAUUCGUGGUGUAGCGGUGAAAUGCUUAGAUAUCACGAAGAACUCCGAUUGCGAAGGCAGUUCACUAGACUGCAACUGACACUGAGGCUCGAAAGUGUGGGUAUCAAACAGGAUUAGAUACCCUGGUAGUC